AUUCAUUCAUGAGAGUUUAAGCCCUUGUGCAGUUUCCACCCUGUUGAUCCCUAAAAAGGAUGGUUCAUGGAGAAUGUGUGUGGAUAGUCGUGCCAUCAAUAGGAUCACUGUAAAGUAUCAUUUUUCCAUUUCUAGACUUAACGAUAUGCUAGAUACAAUGGUUGGGGCUACAAUCUUUUCGAAGAUUGAUCUGAAGAGUGGAUACCAUCAGAUUAGAAUUCGCCUGGGUGAUGAGUGGAAAACCACCUUUAAAACGAAAGAUGAUCUUUAUGAAUGGUUGGUCAUGCCUUUUGGGCUAAGCAACGUGCCCAGUACCUUUAUGCGGGUAAUGACACAAACUCUUUGACUUUUCAUGGGUAAGUUUCUUGUUGUCUACUUUGAUAAUAUUCUCAUAUAUAGUAAGACUAAGGAGCAACACCUUAACCACCUUACACAAGUUUGAACUACCCUAUGUGCAACUAAUUUGUAUGCUAAUGUCAAGAAUUGCUCUUUUUUCAUCGAUACAGUUGUUUUCCUGGGGUUCAUUGUCUCUUCAACAGGGGUAUCUGCUAAACCUGCCAAGGUUCAGGCAAUUCUUGACUGGCCUGAACCUAAGACUAUUCAUGACGUCAGGAGCUUUCACGGCUUAGCUAUAUUUUACCGUCGCUUUAUCAAGUUGUUUAGCACUAUUAUGGCACCUAUUACGGAGUCCAUGAAAAAGGGGAGUUUCAUUGGACACAAGAAGCGGCUAAGGCCUUUAAGUUGGUCAAGAAACGAAUGACGAAGGCCCCUGUCAUGCGUCUUCCCGACUUUUCCAAAGUCUUUGAGGUCGAAUGUGAUGCCUUCGGGAUAGGUAUAGGCGGAGUCUUAAGUCAUGAUUGUCACCCUGUUGCCUACUUCAGUGAGAAGUUAAAUGAGACCAAACAACGGUACUCAACUUAUGAUAGGUGGUCCAGGCUUUGCGCUAUUGGCGCCACUAUUUGUUGCCCCAUGAGUUUGUCCUUUAUUCGGACCACGAGGCCCUUUGUUACCUCAACUCCCAGAAAAGAUUAAGCUCUAGGCAUGAUCAUUGGAUUGAAUAUUUGCAGGCAUAUUCAUUUGUUUUAAAACAUAAGAAGGGUGUGGAGAACCAAGCAGCUGAUGCAUUAAGUCGUCGUAUCUUCCUCUUGUCGAACAUGAGUAUCAAGGUCAUCGAUUUUGAAAGGUUUAAGGAGGAUUACGAGGCAUGUCCCGAUUUUAAAGAUAUCUUUCUUGAUUUGGAAAGGGGACAAUCAGGCACCACAAAUAGCUUUCGACUUGAGGAGGGUUAUCUCUUUAGAGCCAAUAAAUUGUGCAUCCUUCGAACUUCAAUGCGAGAUUUCAUAGUGUAGGAAGUUCAUACGAGAGGUUUAGCCGGUCACUUUGGGCAUGAUAAGACCAUAGAGGAGGUUGAACGCCAAUUCUAUUGGCCUAGUUUGAAGAAGAUGUGGCUAAAAUUGUCAGUACUUGUAACACUUGUCAAUUGGCCAAACAAAAUAGGCAAAACACAGGCCUAUACACUUCUCUUCAUGUCCCUAAUUGUCCUUAGCAAGAUGUUAGUAUGAAUUUUGUGUUAGGACUUCGACGCACCCUAAACAGACAUGGUUUUAUUUUUGUGGUUGUCGACCGUUUCUUGAAAAUUGCUCAUUUUAUCCCCUGUAGCAAGACCUCAGAUGCGUCCUAGGUUGCCACGUUAUUCUUUAAUAAGAUUGUCAGAUUGUAUGGGCUUUCCAAGACCAUUGUGUCCGAUAGGGAUGUUUGUUUCACUAGCCAUUUUUGGAGAACUUUGUGGCAAAAGAUGGAUACCAAAUUGAAGUUCUCUACGGCCUACCACCCUCAGACUAACCGUCAAACUGAAGUAGUUAAUCAUAGUCUUGGUAAUUUGUUACGAUGUCUACUUCGGGAAAAUCUUCGUAAUUGGGAUUUGAUCCUUCCUGUAGCUCAAAUUGCUUAUAACAGUUCCGUGAAUCUCUCAUUGGGUAUGAGUCUAUUUGAAGUUGUUCACGGGAAUAAGCUUAGGAAGCCGUUAGAUCUCAUUCCUAUGUCCCCAUAGGCUAGAGUCAGUCGAAGCAUUCACACAACAUCUUCGUGAUUUGCAUAUUGAGAUCAAUAAACAACUUGAAGCUAAUAAUACAAAAUAUAAGCUCCAAGCUGAUUUACAUAAACAACAUAUUGAGUUUAACGUUGGGGAUUACGUUAUAGUCCACAUUAGGCCAGAGCGGCGUCUACAUGGACCCGCCUCCAAAUUGCAAGCCCAUAGUGAUGGUCGUUUUAAAAUUUUAAAGCAAGUUAAUCCAAAUGUAUAUGCUGUUGACAUUCCACCACACCUUGGUUACCACUCUACUUUCAAUGUUGAGAACCUAGUAGCUUAUAAAGGUCAUUUCAUUCCCUCAGAUAAUCAUUUAUUACCUCAUUUUGUGGACCUUAAUCCCGACUAUUUGGCCACUUCUAACCCACUACCACCUCUCAAAGCACACACAGAUAAAAUUGAUGCUAUUUUAGGGGAAGAAACUGUAUUAACUAAUGAUGGAGAGGUUCAGCGCUUCCUUGUUCGUUGGGUUGUUCGACCAGAUUCUGACUAUACAUGAAUCUCCAGAGAGACAUUACAACAAUUGGAUCCAGAUUUAUUGGAGCUUUAUCGGAGUCAGCAGGAUCUUCCUUGGCCCAAAUCGCCUCCCGUUCUCCCAAGGGAAGUUGGUAAGGAUACUAGAUUCAGAUCUCCACUGACACAUUUCUACAGACGCCAGAAGAAGCUUGCCCUACCACUCAACUUAUGGUUGGGAGAUUAACUGCAACCUAUAUUGAUAUAUCCACUCUACAGGGUCGAGUUUUCUCCCACCCGGGGAGAGUUGAUGAGGACAUCCAGUUAUUUAUUUUAAGUGACAUCCAAUUUAUUUGUUUCAUUUUAGUUGAACUAUUAUUUUGUUUAUUUUAGUUGGGUUAUUUUUUAUAUGGACUUGUGUAAUGGGCUUGGCCCUCUCUCUUUAGGUUUUUGUUUUUUAAAUCUUUUUCGCCAUGUAAUGGACAGUUGAUGAAUGAAUAGAAAUUUUGGUGGCUUGUGGCGA
rnacentral:lncRNA from 1 species